rnacentral:rRNA from 1 species
UACGGAGGGUGCAAGCGUUAAUCGGAAUUACUGGGCGUAAAGCGCACGCAGGCGGUCUGUUAAGUCAGAUGUGAAAUCCCCGGGCUCAACCUGGGACUUGCAGUUGAAACUGGUGAGCUAGAGUAGGGUAGAGGGGUGUGGAAUUCCAGGUGUAGCGGUGAAAUGCGUAGAUAUCUGGAGGAACAUCAGUGGCGAAGGCGACACCCUGGACUCAUACUGACACUGAGGUGCGAAAGCGUGGGAGCAACAGG